GCCGGAGAGACUGUUAAAGUAGCAGGAACAUUUAAUGAAUGGAAAGAACAAAUAUCAUUAGAGAAAGUGUAAGUUAAUAAUAGUUAAUGGAUAUAAGAAGAUGUGGUAUAAGUGCUACUGAGACAACUCUCCAUCCAAUCACAAUUUAUAAAAGUGAACCAUUAUAGGUCAAGGUAUGGCCUUCAACACGGAGCAUAGGCUCACACCAAACAGCAAGCUAUAAAGG
rnacentral:lncRNA from 1 species